CACGUAGGGGGCAAGCGUUGUCCGGAUUUAUUGGGCGUAAAGAGCUCGUAGGCGGCUUAGUAAGUCGGGUGUGAAACCUCCAGGCUCAACCUGGAGACGCCACCCGAUACUGCUGUGGCUAGAGUCCGGUAGGGGAGCGUGGAAUUCCUGGUGUAGCGGUGAAAUGCGCAGAUAUCAGGAGGAACACCAAUAGCGAAGGCAGCUCGCUGGGACGGUAUUGACGCUAAGGCGCGAAAGCGUGGGGAGCAAACAGG
rnacentral:rRNA from 1 species